UGAUCCCUUCCCCACACAGGUCCUGCUGAUGAAGAGGAGGUGAGCCCCGAGCUGUAGCUCCCACUCUGUGCUGCUCCCUGCGGGACCUUCCUCCUCCUCCUCCUCCUCCUCCUCCUCCGUGCCCGAUCCCGCCGCGGGGCCGCCCCGAUGCCGAAGAACAGCAAGGUGACGCAGCGGGAGCACAGCAGCGAGCAUGUCACCGAGUCGGUGGCCGACCUGCUGGCCCACCAGGAGCCCGUGGACUACAAACGCAGCGUCCUCAACGUGACAGGGGACGCGUGGGACAAGCAGAAGGAGGGGGACGAGGACCUGGAGGCGGAGAACCGGCCGGCGUGGAACAGCAAGCUGCAAUACAUCCUGGCGCAGAUCGGCUACUCCGUGGGGCUGGGCAACGUCUGGCGCUUCCCCUACCUCUGCCAGAAGAAUGGAGGAGGUGAGACAUGGGCAGGGAUGGGCUUGGGGUUUGAAAUGGGGCAGGGAUGGCCUCGGGUUUUGUGUUGCUGAAAUGGCUCCUGAGGUAUUAAAGCAUCUUUUUCCCAACCC